rnacentral:lncRNA from 12 species
AUGGUGGGAACUCUGCUAGUCCAUUUGCUCUUACAAGGUGUUCUGCUGUAUGAUGCUUUGGGAUGGGAAGUGAGAAUGCCAAAGCAAAUUCAUGGUCUCAGAGGUUCCUGUCUGGUUAUACCAUGUUCUUAUAGCUACUCAUCAUACCCACCCCAAAACCCAGCCAGAAUUGUGUGGUAUCAGUGGGUCUCUAGAGGUUAUCCUUUAGUUUACGAUCCAUGGAAACCAAAUGAUGUUAUCUGGAAGUUCAGAUGGAAAACUGAUUUAUAUAGAAGACAUAGUUGGGAUUGCAGUCUGCUGAUCAAAAACCUGGAACAGUCCCACCAUGGAGAGAAAUUAUACGCAUGGAUUGACCCUGAAAAUGUUGGAUGGAGCACCUACGCAUUUUAUGAUGUCACCUCUACAGUGUUUGUCGAUGCAAGUCCAGAGAAGCCCAGCAUCAGUAUUUAUGGAGGUGAAAAGAUGGGUGACACAGUCACAGUUACAUGUUCAACUUUCCACACGUGUCCAUACAGUGAACCAACCAUCACUCUGAACGGUAUAGAAGGAUCUGAUAAAAUCAGCGAUGAGGAUAUUAAAGACGGCCUGUGGAAAAUCACUCGGACACGCACAGGUGUCGUAAAGGCUGAACGCUUGACUAUUCAGUGUUCAGUAAGACAUUAUGGUGGCAGAGAGGUGACAGCUAUGACGGUCAUAAAUGCCAAAUGUGAGCAAACACAAAUAUGA